GUGCCAGCAGCCGCGGUAAUACGUAGGUGGCAAGCGUUAUCCGGAAUUAUUGGGCGUAAAGCGCGCGUAGGCGGUUUCUUAAGUCUGAUGUGAAAGCCCACGGCUCAACCGUGGAGGGUCAUUGGAAACUGGGAAACUUGAGUACAGAAGAGGAAAGUGGAAUUCCAUGUGUAGCGGUGAAAUGCGCAGAGAUAUGGAGGAACACCAGUGGCGAAGGCGACUUUCUGGUCUGUAACUGACGCUGAUGUGCGAAAGCGUGGGGAUCAAACAGGAUUAGAUACCCUGGUAGUCC
rnacentral:rRNA from 1 species